UACGGGGGGAGCAAGCGUUGUUCGGAUUUACUGGGCGUAAAGGGCGCGUAGGCGGCCACCGCAAGUCGACUGUGAAAUCUCCGGGCUUAACCCGGAAAGGUCAGCCGAUACUGCGGGGCUAGAGUGCAGAAGGGGCAACUGGAAUUCUCGGUGUAGCGGUGAAAUGCGUAGAUAUCGAGAGGAACACAUGCGGCGAAGGCGGGUUGCUGGGCUGACACUGACGCUGAUGCGCGAAAGCUAGGGGAGCGAACGGG
rnacentral:rRNA from 1 species